rnacentral:lncRNA from 1 species
GAAGCUAGUAGAAGAUUUGUACCAACAAAACCAAGGAGUAAACAACUUGAGAAUAACUGCAUGAGCUCAGGGCUUGGACUGUCAGAUUCCAUUUCUAAGCUUCCAGAAGAGCGACACAUAGACACUGGGGAAGUCAGAGCCUUUGAACUCCAAUGCCAUCCCCGUCACCCACCUCCACCACCAGCACCACCACCGAAUGGCACUUUGGACAAUUUUUCCCUCUCAUGUGACUUUUGUCAUUUCUUACGUCAGUUGGAGCCAGCACCUCUCAAAUCCAUCUUCUAAAACCCAGAAAAUUGUGUGUAACACAUGAUGACUGAAAGGGAGUAGGCUGACCAGUUAAGAGCCUGCCACUGGAAUGGAAGGCUGUGGGAAGGUGAGGGGACGGUGGACAUCAACCGGGAAGAGCUGAAAGAUGGCGUUACCAGGUAUCUACCCUGCUACCCUGCAUAGAAUUCCCAAGACCGUCCAUUGGAUUCGAAGGGGUCCUCACACGAAGCAGGAAGUCACCCUGUAUCUCAGAACUGUGGAGAUCUCAGUCCGUGGUCAUCUUGUCAUACAUGACAUGGCAGGAGCCAUGGUCCAGGGAACCAGGUGGCUGCCAACUUGCAGAACAGGCGACAAAACCCCAGCCUGGACCCCCAGACCAUGCACUUCUCCCUUUGCCCUGCUUCUCCUCUGCCUGGUACAGGUUUCCAGCCAAGCUCUGCACCGGCUUCUAUGUCUGUUUGUUUUCCUUAGAAGCUUCCUAUAGAAAGCCUGGAGGAGCAACUGUGAGGCCCCGAGAUGGGGAGGGAGCCCAGAUUCUGGCUUUUGGUCUUCCUGCUGUUUCUUUUGUCUGAUGCUGGUGCAUUUCCAUGGACAGUUUAUUUCCCUUGGACACUGUGGGCUUGGUUUUUCCAUGAGUGUGUGACGCUGUGGUCAUUCACCAGGCCCUGUUGGUGGUCUCGGUGGGGGCCACAAGGCUCAGAUCUCACCUGCCCCUUUUCCUACCUCCUCCACUCUUUGCUCAGCCAUCAACAUUCCUUUCUGUCCCAGAAGUGUUCUUUCCAAAAUGCAGAUCUGCCCAUGUCCCCUAAUGACGUCACUUAUUGACUUCGCUAUGGAAAAGGAGCGAUGGGGAAUGUGGCCGGAAGGACAGCAGAGAGCCAGACUGUGGAGACCUUUGAAUUCCAGAGGAACAAAAGUAUUUUGGGUGGCUCACACCUGUAAUCCCAGCACUUUGGGGCUUUUUUGCUGGUAGACGCACACCAUCACAUCCUACAUAAUAUUUAGCUCUGAGGCGUUUCCAGAUGGGAAGUGCGUUUCUGUAUUUUCAUAGCCGUGUUCUCUACGUGAAUGGACUGGCGUGAAGCUGGGGGCUGACGGCUGGCAGGGCAGAGUAGAGAUGGGGGUUUUCAUCAUGUUGGUCAGGCUGGUCUCGAACUCCUGACCUCAGGAGAUCUGCCUGCCUUGGUCAUCCAAAGUGCUGAGAUUACAGGUGUGAGCCACCAUGCCUGGCCUAAAAUUUUUCUUUAAACACUUAAAAUACGUCACACUAUGAUAAUCUAACUUUUCUGUUCUUUGUUGUGAAGUAUACAGGAGCCUCUAAGUGGAAGUGGCUCAGGGCUCUCUCCUGGCCUUUGAGAGGUUAACACUAUUAUUUGCUCCAUUCAACCAGCAAGGGAUUGGAGGUCUAGGGAGGCUGUCACUUGCACAAGGUCACACAGCUGUAGUAAACUUCUGAGUUUGGACUUAGCCCCUCUGCUUCUAAAAUCCCCUCUCUGAACCUCAUACUCUCCAGCAUCUCUUCUAGUUUUUUGCUGUUCUUUGCUACUCAGGCUGAGGCCCCGAAUAUAAGUAGAUGUGUGUUAAUAAGUGUCUGUGCAUGCAUGUACAUAUACACAGACAUUUCCCCUGCUCUCUAGAGUCCCCUUUCGUGCCAAGUUUAAGCAGCUAACUCCUGUCAAGCAUCUAAGGGUUAGUUCAGAAAUGAGAGUGUACAAUGGCACCAGCACCAUAAAAAUAACUGGAUGGUUGUAUUAAUCUGUUCUUGGAUUGCUAUAAAGAACUACCCGAGACUUAAUUUAUAAAGAAAACUACCUGAGACUUAAUUUAUAAAGAAAACUACCUGAGACUUAAUUUAUAAAGAAAAGAAGUUUAAUUGCCUUACGGUUCCACAGGCUCUAUAGGAAGCAUGGCUAGGGAGGCCUCAGGAAACUUACAGUCAUGGUGGAAGGCAAAGGGGAAGCAGGCAUGUCUGUCCUACAUGGCUGGUGCAGGAGGAAGACAAGGGAGAGGUGCUACACAUUUUUAAACAACCAAAUCUCAUGAGAACUCACUAUCACAAGAACAAGGGAAAAAUCCACCCCCGUGAUCCAGUCACUUCCUACCAGGCCCCUCCUCCAACACUGGGGAUUACAAUUUGACCAACAACUUCCAGUAAAAGAAGGCACUGAGGUUUAAGUGCUACGUGGGAGCAGUUGCCGAUUUUUGCAAUGGGAGGCUGCAUAGAUUCAAGAUUUUUAGUAGAGAUGUGGUUUUGCCAUGUUGGCCACACUGGUGUGGGACUCCUGACCUCAAGUGAUCCGCCUGCUUCAGCCUCCCAAAGUGCUGGGAUUAUAGGCGUGAGUCAUGGUGCCAGUGAAUUUCUAUUAAUUUUGAUUAUUAUUUUAUAAGUUUGAAUAUAACCAACUCACCUUUCAUAUAUUUAUAAGUCUAAAAAAGUCAAUGGACAAUGUAUAAUUUGGAAAUCACUUAUUUCCAUUUGGAGGGGGAUCUCAGGGGGAUAUAGUUAGCUUUGGAGAACAUAAGAUCAUUUGGUUUUAGAGGUCACCUUAUCCUGAUCGCAUGAAAGGAAAGGAUGGAAUUCAAGCUUUUUAUGACCUAAACCCUCAAUGUCUGUCUCUAUCCUUAGUAAGAAAUGGGGAAGGGGAACAAUAACGGGAGCAUUAUUGAGAGCUGUUCUCCCACAUUCACUAAACUCUACCAACAUAACUUGCUAAAUAAAUCUUACCUAUUCUUACUUCCCCAUCCCUUACCACCAUUAUUGUAGCUUGGGCUGCUAGCAUCUGUUGCCUGGCCCAGUAGCCUUUCAAGAGUUUUGACUGAUGAGUUGACUCUCACCAUGAAUUUCCGUCACAUUUACAUGUUUUAAUAUUUUAUUUCCUUAUUUUUUUUUUUCUGAUCAGUUUCCUAUCCACCAUGUAAAGCGAGCAUCUUGUGGCCAUAUUGACAGACUCAGAGUACCUGUUUCAAAUGUUUGGGUCAGAUGCUGCUUUUCCCUUCAGUGCUGUGCAGCUCUGGUGUGUCGGCCUCCAGCUUUUCCUGGGGUCACAGACCUCGCGACCACCAGGUGCCCAAGGAAAUCAGUCGUUGAGGCGAACGGCUUCACUUCUUGUCCCAUUUGUGUGUGUGGCUGGAAUUCUCUAGCCUGAAUGAUUCAUUUAGACUCCAUAGACCACCACCUGUAUUCACAGAGUCUCAGACCGACUUUUAAGAUGCAUUUCAUUUUUGUCUCAAGGUUACAUAUCUAACCAGUGUGUUAUAAAGGGUAUUGGCCACAGGUAGAGAAUGUAU